rnacentral:rRNA from 1 species
AACGAACGCUGGCGGCAUGCCUAACACAUGCAAGUCGAACGAGACCUUCGGGUCUAGUGGCGCACGGGUGCGUAACGCGUGGGAACCUGCCCUUAGGUUCGGAAUAACUCCCCGAAAGGGGUGCUAAUACCGGAUCAUGUCUUCGGACCAAAGAUUUAUCGCCUUUGGAUGGGCCCGCGUUGGAUUAGCUAGUUGGUAGGGUAAAAGCCUACCAAGGCGACGAUCCAUAGCUGGUCUGAGAGGAUGAUCAGCCACACUGGUACUGAGACACGGCCCAGACUCCUACGGGAGGCAGCAGUGGGGAAUAUUGGACAAUGGGCGAAAGCCUGAUCCAGCAAUGCCGCGUGAGUGAUGAAGGCCUUAGGGUUGUAAAGCUCUUUUACCCGGGAUGAUAAUGACAGUACCGGGAGAAUAAGCUCCGGCUAACUCCGUG